GACGUAGGGCGCGAGCGUUGUCCGGAUUUAUUGGGCGUAAAGAGCUCGUAGGCGGCUUGUCGCGUCGAAUGUGAAAUCUCAGGGCUCAACUCUGACAUUGCAUUCGAUACGGGCAGACUAGAGUUCGGUAGGGGAGACUGGAAUUCCUGGUGUAGCGGUGAAAUGCGCAGAUAUCAGGAGGAACACCGGUGGCGAAGGCGGGUCUCUGGGCAACAACGUGACGCUGAGGAGCGAAAGCGUGGGGAGCGAACAGG
rnacentral:rRNA from 1 species